rnacentral:lncRNA from 1 species
AAUUAAUCAACAUAUAUUUUAAAAUAAUUUUAACACCAAAUCAAUUAUUUAAAAUUCUAUUUAAUUAAUGAAAUAAUUUAUUAAAAAAUUUAGGGUGUUACAUAUUCUCCUUUUUGGGAUUAUUUUCUCUUUUUGCCUUUGCCUUUUCCCUCAUUGUCUUUUCAUAAGCUCUUCGCCAUGUAUCAACUCUAUGCCAUGCCCUAAAUAAUCGCAUUACUUCCUUUUCCUUUCGCUUCCUUUUAGAAGCUAUUUCCCUUGCCUUUGCUUUUGCUUUCUUUGCCAAAGCUAUUUCCUUCUGCUUUGCUUCCUUUGCCAAAUCUUUUUCCUUCUGCUUUGCAUCCUUUUCUUUCUGCUUUGCUUCCUUUGCCAAAUCUUUUUCCUUCUGCUUUGCAUCCUUUUCUUUCUGCUUUGCUUCCUUUGCCAAAUCUUUUUCCUUCUGCUUUGCAUCCUUUUCUUUCUGCUUUGCUUCCUUUUCCAUCAUCCUUUCUUCCCUUGUUUUAUUUCCCGCACCAACAGGCUUAUUUUGAUCAAAAGAUUCUAUAUCUAUGGGUUUUUGCCCACCAUCAAGCUUAUCGACCAAAACAUUUUUCUUUGACUCUUUUGUAUAUUGUUUACCUUCUUUUAAUGUCUCUGUUGCCACAACAGAUAAAAGAAACAAUGCACAAAGGAAACACAAAUUAAAAGCUUUGAUUUUCAUCAUUGCUACAAUUUCUAAGAAUUUAAUUGUUGUGAAACAUAUGAAUAUAUUCGGCAACAUAAAUAGGUAUGAAAAUCAAAAGUAGAUUUAUUAAAUAAUAUAUUAUUUAAUUGGCUUUCGAGAAUAUUGAGCCAUUGAAGGGUUAUUGAGGUAGGUAAAGUGUUUAAACUUUUACAACUACGAGGUUGCUAGAUAAUUUCUUUAAUAAUACACAUAAUUCUAGCCUUUUGGUGAGCAUAAUUAUCAAACGUUGUCAAUAAAAAAUAGUUAUUGACACGAAAAAUUACUCUUUUAAAUUUUUCUCAAUUUCCUUUUAUGUCUAUAAGUUUUAUUUAUUUAUUUUUUAUUUAGUCAUUAAAUUUAUCUCAUUAGCACCUUAACUUUUAAGUUAUAAUCCAUGAUUGAUAAAAUUGAAGCCAUGAUUGAUAAAAUUGAGUUAAAAGUUUCAAAAAUGUUAUCUUUUAAGUUAUAAGUUCUGAUGAAAAUGAGUCAUGAUCGAUAAAAUUAAAACCAAAAAUAGAUUCAGUGGCCGAUUUUGUGUGGGACAGUGGUUGAGAUAGAUUUAAAUGACAAAUAAUUGUUGGGAGUGAAUUUGAGAGAAAAAAGAUUUGCUGCAAUUUGGUUGCCAUUAAUCUGAUUUUCAAUUUUUAUUGUUUUAAUUGCAGAAGGAGAGGUUGCAGAUAGCAGAUGUAUAGAAAAAAAGU